CCUACGGGUGGCAGCAGUAGGGAAUAUUGCUCAAUGGGGGAAACCCUGAAGCAGCAACGCCGCGUGGAGAAUGAAGGUUUUCGGAUUGAAAACUCCUUUUUUUAGAGAAGAAAAGGACGGAAUCUAACGAAUAAGAACCGGCUAACUCCGUGCCAGCAGCGGCUGUAAUACGGAGGGUGCAAGCGUUACUCGGAACCACUGGGCGUAAAGAGCUCGUAGGCGGGAUAGCAAGUCAGAUGUGAAAUCCUAUGGCUUAACCAUAGAACUGCAUUUGAAACUGUUAUUCUAGAGUAUGGGAGAGGUAGGUGGAAUUCUUGGUGUAGGGGUAAAAUCCGUAGAGAUCAAGAGGAAUACUCAUUGCGAAGGCGACCUGCUAGAACAUAACUGACGCUGAUGCGCGAAAGCGUGGGGAGCAAACAGGAUUAGAUACCCGGGUAGUC
rnacentral:rRNA from 1 species